UCAUGGAAAACAUCAAGUAAUUUCAAAAUAAUUCAAGAGAGUUGAGUUACUUACCUUGUAGUCGAAGCCCGUCAAAGCCCAAUUCUCCGUUUCACCUUUGGAAGUUCUUGAUUCAUCCUUGGUUGCCUUCCUCUUCUUUGGCCUCUCCCUCAGUUCAAGUUCAUUGUUUAUUUUAGAUUUUUGUUUAAUAAACUUAUUAAGAUUUAGUGUUCGAAGUUCAAGUUCAUCAUUGUCCUCAUCACUUGAGUCAUUGCUCAAAUGGUAUUCAUUUGUCCGGGGUUCCAAAUCCUUCCUGUUCUUUGGAAGGUGGUUCAAGUGUUCAUUGUGUUCAUCAUGUGCAUUGCGCACCAUUUCAUAUGUCAUCAACAAACCAAUUAGUUCUUCAAGUGGAAAAAUAUUUAAAUCUUUUGUUUCUUGUAUUG
rnacentral:lncRNA from 1 species